ACUAGAUGGAAACGGUUUUGGACAGAGAAGCAUGGCGGUCUUUGGUGUCGGAGGCCAAGAUCCACUUCGGGUCGCUGCACCAUAGCAGUAAGUAAGUAUUUAUAAACAUACUGUACCUUCUGUGUACCUAACCCAAAACGAGAUAUUUAAGAAAAAGUCCACCCGCCAUUCUGACGUCAGGAUUGCGGUUGGACCUAUGAAAUCUUGCAUUAUACCGCACUAAAAGUAUGCAGUUAUAUGGUACAGUCGCCAUCAGAUAUAUCGGAGUGGCCGAGGUGCUCAAAGAUCUCUAAACACGCACUCUAACCUCUUGACAGUAGAGGCAUGUUCAGAUAUUCGUGGGUACCUUGGCCGCUCCGAUAUAUAUGAUGGUGACUGUACCUUCAGUGUACCUCUGUAAAUAGAAAUAGAAACCGGUGUACCUCUCCCCAAAACAAGGUAGGCUAAGCUCAUGCACAAUAUAACUGCAUACUUUUAGUGCGGUAUAAUGCAAGAUUUCAUAGGUCCACCCGCCAUCCUGACGUCAAGUUGGCGGGUGGACCGUUUUGUAAAAUAUCUCGUUUUGGGGAAAGGUACACUGGUUUAUAUUAAAGGUACACUGAGGUACACAGAAGGUACAAUAUGUUUAUAAAUAUUUAUUUGAAAUUCGCUGAGGUCCACCGCCAUCCUGACGCUUACCAUAUAUCUAAGGACCGACCUUAGGGGCAAUAACGAUAGUGCUAGUUCAGUUGUUUCAUUCACAAAUUCGAGCCAAUCGUGCUGUCUAACGCAACUAGAUGCGAUCAAUCGCGUGCAUAAUGCGAACUCAUCAACCAAUCACGUUUUGGUACUUGUGGCGUUAGACUGCACGAUUGGCUCAAACUCGUGUGCGUAACACCGCUGUACUGGCCCCAUUCUUAUUGCCCGUAAGGCCCGUCCUCAGACAUAUUAUGUCAACGACACAGUCGCGAUUUUAAAAAAUCACAUCGCUUCUGCUACCAAAUUGUUGAGCAUAACGUUUUCCUAUCCAUAGGUUCCACCUGUCCAGUAGGAUCCACCAUCUCGAUCCACCAGAUUGAAGAGAUUGUUACUUAACUGAUGGAUCGAGAUAAUGAAACCUACUGAAUAGAGCGGGUCGAUUGGAUAUAACAAAGUACGCUUAUAUGAAACGCUACUCCGGUGUGCGAGUGAGACAGUCAGGCCAAUUUGAACUUGCAUUUGACAGAAAACUGUCUCCAUCAAACGCUACCAGUUCCAUUGCCGGCCUCUUCGCUGCCUUCUAUAGUGGUUCAAUCUUACCUUGCUUAUGAAUAAAAAGGGGCGUGCACACCGAUAUUAGAGUAAUAUUGGAAUCAUAUCAGUUAGUUGCGGGCGUCUCGCUCGCACAAAUACAUGCGUAUAAGUGCGAAAUGAACACACGAAUGACAGCUAACUGGUAUCAUUCCAAUAUUAUUCUAAAAUUGGUUUAAUGUCAGUUGCACUUUCGAAUUGGCCUACAUAGCGAUUUCCUUAGCCUGCACACCGGAUCGGCGUGUGGGCCGGCAUCUAGCUAAUGUAAAGCCACCUCAUUAGGUGCUUUUAGCCUUUUGAACGGCAAGAACACCUAAAGCUGUGGUGAGAGAAAGCCGCGCGUCCCUCAUGCACUGCACUAGCUUUACAGCUUGCAUUGCGACCAAUGUAUGCCGCUCACCGCCCCGCCGGUCGCGUGGGUCCAAUCCACGGCCCUAGAAGACGUACUUUACAUAUAAACAAGAGCACGCGAGCAUUUUGCGAGUUGUGUAUGUGUACUUGUGUUAUCUAGGCGCACAAACGGUUACAAUAACAAGAAGUGUACACCGCGUGUGCAGUCCAACACGGGAGCACGGGUGCGAUUCGAAAAUAACGCGCUAGCGACGCAUUACGACAUUGAUAUUUUACCCUUUGAACGCCAUAACAAAAACGUUACUCACAUGCCAAGGUCACGGGCGCAAGUGAGCUUGAAAGUGCAUGAGUAUUACAUUAGGGACUUUGACAGCGAUUAUAACAGCUAUAAUCAUUAAUGUGUUCAUGGCCCUUAAAUCAUGUCUAGUGACGGCGCCUUUAGGUGUUCUUGACGUUCAAAAGGUUAAGGGCGUUUGCUAGCUGGCGCUAGUGCACGGAGCGGGCAAACACGCGCAGGUGCCUUUGUAAGUAAAAUCAGUCGCACGCGUCCGCGCCAGUUAGCGUUGCUCAUACUGUAAGAGCUCGUUCCCACUAUGUCGGAUGUCGUGGCGAUUUUUAAUCGUACGUUCCACUGGCAGAACAUUUUAUAUGAAGCUGUUCACACUCGUCCGACAACGAUUUUGUGUCGGAUACGACAUAAAAUGUCGUGCGUUUUGCCAGCCCUUCCAGCCCGGAAAAAAAUCGUGUCGUGUCUCGCUCGCGUACGAGUGAAUAUAGCGCUGUUCACAUUUUGUCGGAUGUCGGAACGAUUUCGCCCGCGCCGCCCGCGGCACCCCCUCACACACCCGCGCGUCGCUGCCGCGUCGUUGCGAUCGCUUCUUAAUUCAGCUAUCAAAUUCUGAAAUAUUCAUACGGUAAAUCUUUCCCUGAGAAUUGGGUGUACCCAAUAUCUCCUUUUUUUAACUGCCUCUAAUCGUUUCUUUCGCAAAUAAUACAAAACCACAAACAUUUCGUCGACGUUCAUCUUGUACUAAGCCUCGCUACCCACUCGAAAAAUACACGCCAGCUGCGAUCGUGUACGACAGACGACUAGUGGGAACAGUACCGCCGACACCCGAUUGAAAUCCGGAUCCGACAUCCGACAUAGUGAGAACAGCGGCAACGACACACGAUUAAAAAUCGCCACGACAUCCGACAUAGUGGGAACGAGCUCUAAGCCGCACGCCCGCUCCAUGCACACGCGCGACGUUGCGGACGCCCUAUGCCCUAAACCUUACUUGAAAGUGUGAAGGUUACUCUGACAGCGGCUAUAUCAGCUAUAAUGUAUUUAUGACGCUUUGAGCAUAGCUAGUUACGACGCCUUAAGGUAUUCUUGGCGUUCAAAAGGUUAAGGGCGUUUGCUAGCUGGCGCGAGUGCACGGAGCGGGUGCACCUAGCGUCGCCAGUUACUGUUUUUCGUUAACCCGCUUCAGCUAGCAAACUAAUCGCAAAUGGUCCGAGAUUGGCGCAAUAACCAUGCAUUCCCUUAUCUGGAUCUGGAUGCACCUAUUCACCAAUGCUUGCUUUAAAGUAACUUGUCGACUCGUCCUGAUAAUAUUUGUGCGACCGUGAAGAAAAUCUAUGCCGUCACUUAUUUUUCAAUUUAUAUGAAAUAAAGAUGUUAAAUGUA